GACGAACGCUGGCGGCGUGCUUAACACAUGCAAGUCGAACGAGAGCGUAGAGAAAGCUUGCUUUUUCUACAAUCUAGUAGCAAACGGGUGAGUAACGCGUAAACAACCUGCCCUACGGAUGGGGACAACAGCUGGAAACGGCUGCUAAUACCGAAUACGUUCCGAAAGUCGCAUGACUAUCGGAAGAAAGGAUGGCCUCUAUUUAUAAGCUAUCGCCGGAGGAGGGGUUUGCGUCUGAUUAGCUAGUUGGAGGGGUAACGGCCCACCAAGGCGACGAUCAGUAGCCGGUCUGAGAGGAUGAACGGCCACAUUGGAACUGAGACACGGUCCAGACUCCUACGGGAGGCAGCAGUGGGGAAUCUUCCGCAAUGGGCGAAAGCCUGACGGAGCAACGCCGCGUGAGUGAAGACGGCCUUCGGGUUGUAAAGCUCUGUUAUACGGGACGAAUAAUCUUGUGGUUAAUACCCAUGAGAAGUGACGGUACCGUAAGAGAAAGCCACGGCUAACUACGUG
rnacentral:rRNA from 1 species